rnacentral:rRNA from 1 species
UACGGAGGGUGCAAGCGUUGUCCGGAAUCACUGGGCGUAAAGGGCGCGUAGGCGGCUCAUGAAGGCUGUGGUGAAAGUCCGGGGCUCAACCUCGGAUCGGCCGUGGCGACUCGUGGGCUGGAGCACUGUAGAGGCGGGUGGAAUUCCGGGUGUAGAGGUGAAAUUCGUAGAUAUUCGGAGGAACACCAGUGGCGAAGGCGACACACUGGGCCAUUACUGACGCUGAGGCGCGAAAGCGUGGGGAGCAAACAGG